AGUAAAAUAAACAAAUAAAAACCCAUAAAUAAGAAAACAGUAAAAAGAAUGGAAGGGAGCUGAAGAACUUACUAAGGAAUAAGACAAGAUGGGCAUUUGUAUUUGGAUUGAGUUUGGUUGCAAACUUGACACUGCCGUGAAGGACCUCCCAUUUUUUUUUUCUUCUUCGCCAAAUAACAAAGCAAAAAAAAAAAAAAAAAAGCGUUUUUAAUGUUUGAUUUGGGGCGUUGAAAAUUAACCCAAGAAAACAAAAGUAGCUAUUGAUUGGAGGAAGAAGAAAGGUAAGACGAUGGCGGGGCUGAGACGAUUGCCUCCUUUCCAAACUCCUAAGAAACCAGAAAAAGCGACUGACGGAGAGACGUUACCGUUGAGAGAGAGUGACGAACGGUGGCGGCAGCCGACAGAUGAGGAGUAGAGGCGGAAACCGGCGGACAGAGGAGAAAUGUGAAGCUGGCACCAGCAGGGGGAACGGCCGACUGGCGACGGAGGUGAAGACGGGGGUCAGCCAGCAGGGAUGUUUUCUUCUAUUUUGGUUUUGUGAAUUUAGGUUUUUGGGUUUUUAAUUUUGGCUUAAUUGAACAGAGACCCUUAAACUAUGGUGUCUGUAUAAGUUAGAUACUAAAGUUUUUUUUGUCGGGUCUGUAAUCAAAGUUUCGCCUUGCCUUCGGA